rnacentral:misc_RNA from 1 species
UUAUCAAUGAAAUUAUAAAUAAUGGUGAUAAUUAUCUCCUUUCUUUUUAAAUGAUUUGAAAUAGUGAAUAGAAAUUUUAUACCUUUAUAUUUAGAGAAUUAGUUCAAAAUGAUAAAUACUAAAUGGUUAUAUUGCCCAUGUUAAAAGCAUAAAAUACCAAAUAUUUUUAGCAACUACAACUAUUUAACUAGCUUACUCCUAAUUCCUUAAUCAUAUUUUUUAAUGAAUGAAGUAACUUUAUCUUCUAGCGAAUCCCUUAAUGAAGUUAGAAAAUUAUAUCAAACACUUAACUUUUUUGUUGCAAAAUUCAGAUCUAAAGCCUUUUGUUACUAUU